rnacentral:rRNA from 1 species
AUGAGGUGCUGGAGGAGCCCACCGGCGGCAUCAGCGACACGCGAGAGCUCGGCGGCGAGCGACGACUUCGGCACCAUGCAUGUACGAACGAUAACUACAGGACGGGCAGGCAGUGGUGGUGGAGCGGUUGUACGACCACAGCUGCUGGCACGUGCAGCAGUUCAUGAACUAGGCGACGAUCCUGUCGCAGCUACACCACCUGAACCUCGUCAUCUUCUAAGGAUCCUGUCGCAGCUGCACCAUCUGAACCUCGUCAUCUUCCACGGCUGCACGUCCAGACGAAGCCAUGUGCUGCUGCUGGUGUACGAGUAG